rnacentral:lncRNA from 1 species
GAAGUUUUCAUAUUUGUUAUAUACAAGAAAUUAUGGAAGGAAAAGUUUUCUUUUUAUACCCCAAAUAAUUAGAAGAAUCAAACAAACCUGCAUUUUUCAGCAAAGCUCAACAAUGGAAAAUGAUGCACCACCAGCUGAUUUUAUUGUCUUUCAGCAAAGCUCAACAAUGGAAGAUGAUGCACCACGAGCUGAUUUUAUUGUCUUUCAGCAAAGCUCAACAAUGGAAGAUGAUGCACCACCAGCUGAUUUUAUUGUCGUCAUCGGAGAUGUCAAAUUUAACCUACACAAGGUAAACCGAUCGGAGCUGUUCAGUUUUGUUUCUUACAGUCGAAUGAAUCUCUGAUUGUGUAGGUGAUUUUGUUUCGUACAGUCGAAUAAUCUGGCGAUGAAGAGUGGGCUGAUAAGGAGAAAGAUCACAGAAGAUCGUACCGAUACCGAUGCAGCAUCGAAGAUCUUACUCUUCUCAGAUAUACCGGGAGGAGCAGAGGCUUUCGAGAAGGCGGUCAAGUUCUGCUAUGGCAUCAACUUC